GAGGAAGCUCCGGCUAACUACGUGCCAGCAGCCGCGGUAAUACGUAGGGAGCGAGCGUUGUCCGGAAUUACUGGGCGUAAAGGGCGCGUAGGCGGCGCUUCAAGUCGUCUGUCAAAAGCCGAGGCUCAACCUCGGUGCGCAGACGAAACUGGAGAGCUUGAGAAGCAGAGAGGCAAACAGAAUUCCUGGUGUAGCGGUGAAAUGCGUAGAUAUCAGGAAGAAUACCAGUGGCGAAGGCGGUUUGCUGGCUGCAUACUGACGCUGAAGCGCGAAAGCCAGGGGAGCAAACGGGAUUAGAUACCCUAGUAGUCC
rnacentral:rRNA from 1 species